UGGGCCGAUCAAUUUCUUGAAUGGUGCUAGUUUGGGGCAUCCCAUAUGGAUGAGAGUGUGGGUAUAAAUUGAUUAUCAUAUGUGAUGGCAAUUCUAUCUCAUGUAGGAAUCCUUCUUUCAUGAGUAUUAGACUGAUGUAAAUUAGAUUUGAGUUAGGACUCCUAUACUUAUUAGGUCAUAAAAAUUAUCUAUAAAUAAAGAGGGUCUUUACCUAUAGAUGCAUAGCAAACAAAUCAUAUUGAGAGAAGAGAGAAAGAGAGAGAAGCGUGAGAAGAGAGAGGUCCCUUCUUCUCC
rnacentral:lncRNA from 1 species